rnacentral:tRNA from 4 species
GCCGAGGUGGUGGAAUUGGUAGACACGCUAUCUUGAGGGGGUAGUGCCUUAUAGGCGUGCGGGUUCAAGUCCCGCUCUCGGCACCA